UGGCUAUCUUAUAGAAUGCAAUUUUAAAAAAAAUUUCAUUUUUUUUUUCUCAAGUGUUAAGACCAAUGAAAUUUUUGCUGCAUAUGUAACGAAAAUCGUAGGUGCUUUAGCUGUCAAGUAAUUGAAGGAUAUGGUAUGACAGAGACUUCUUGUGCCAUGAGCAUGAUGGAUGAGGGUGACAACUUAUCUGGCCACGUCUGGUCCCCUAAUCCUGCCUGUUAGGUAUUUCCUUUUGCCUUUGCAAUUGUAUCUGGUGAAACUGUAGACAAUUUGAGACGGUUUCUUUAAAGGAUAUCGAAUGUCUUGCUGGGAUUUUUUGGGUUUUUUU